rnacentral:rRNA from 1 species
UACGUAGGGACCGAGCGUUGUCCGGAUUUAUUGGGCGUAAAGAGCGUGUAGGCGGCCUGGUAGGUCUGCUGUGAAAACUCGAGGCUCAACCUCGAGAUGUCGGCGGAAACCAUCUGGCUAGAGUCCGGAAGAGGAGAGUGGAAUUCCUGGUGUAGCGGUGAAAUGCGCAGAUAUCAGGAAGAACACCUAUGGCGAAGGCAGCUCUCUGGGACGGUACUGACGCUGAGACGCGAAAGCGUGGGGAGCAAACAGG